CGUGAGUGGUGCUUGGCAUGUNUGGGUUGGUCGGAUCCCUGCCUGUGCAGCGACGAUCGCUCUAUCAUUCCUUUUCAGUCUUGGUCCAAGAGCGAUAUGCCUUGAACUAACUUGGUUGCCUGUGUUGUAUACCUACGUUGAUGGAAUUCCCUCGUUCAAUCGCCCCUAAUUCACCCUCUACUGCUCACGCGGUGCGGGAUGAACCAUGUAGUGUCAUUUGUUGUCCAUCCUUCCGUUGCGUUCAAGCUUCGCGUAGAAUGGCCAACGUUGUACACUCGAAUUCUUGGAUACGGAACCUUAAGCGGGCAACGGGUCUUUGGCCUCUGUUUGCCCAAAUUAAGCGUUCUCGCUUCUUACGAACGACUGUCGCGACCCGUUUAGACCUGAGGAUACUUUCGGUCCGAAUGGCUCUUGCGGUGCCGGCGUCGAAGAGGAAUGCUACCUGGUUGA
rnacentral:misc_RNA from 1 species